rnacentral:lncRNA from 1 species
UUCGCCUGAGGCUCCCGGCAUGCUUAGCUGACUCGCAGACGACUUUUCCCCUCCUCACAGGAAAGCUUCCAAGCGCCAAUUAGCAGUCCGAGGACGACGUGGGAGACAUUUGGAUCUGUGAAGAUGCUGAAAGCGAAUAAAUAAGAGGGAAAAUUAGCACAAAUGGGAAGUGAGCAAUCUAGUUGUAAAGCAGGGUCUUCUAGCCGAUCUCGCCAUGUUCAGCAAGAAGAAGAAACGCAUCGAGAUCUCCGCUCCCUCCAACUUCGAGCACCGCGUCCACACCGGCUACGACCAGCAGGAGCAGAAGUUCACCGGGCUGCCGCGGCCAUAAAAACCCCCGUUGCCAUCCCCGCCAUCCAGCACGGCUCGCAGAAGGUAGGCGGCUUCGCGGGGGCUGGCGGGGUUGGGGGGCUCCUGCUCUCUGCCCUCCUCUUGAGCGUGGAGGCGCCUGCUCCCCGUGAUUUAUUCGGUCCUCCU